UACGUAGGCAGCAAGCGUUGUUCGGAGUUACUGGGCGUAAAGGGUGCGUAGGCGGCUUUUUAAGUUUGGUGUGAAAUCUCCCGGCUCAACUGGGAGGGUGCGCCGAAUACUGAGAGGCUAGAGUGUGGGAGAGGAAAGUGGAAUUCCUGGUGUAGCGGUGAAAGGCGUAGAUAUCAGGAGGAACACCGGUGGUGUAAACGGCUUUCUGGACCAUAACUGACGCUGAGGCACGAAAGCGUGGGUAGCAAACAGG
rnacentral:rRNA from 1 species